UAAUACGGGGGGAGCAAGCGUUGUUCGGAUUUACUGGGCGUAAAGGGCGCGUAGGCGGCCACCGCAAGUCAAUUGUGAAAUCUCCGGGCUUAACUCGGAAAGGUCAACUGAUACUGCGGGGCUAGAGUGCGGAAGGGGCAACUGGAAUUCUCGGUGUAGCGGUGAAAUGCGUAGAUAUCGAGAGGAACACCUGCGGCGAAGGCGGGUUGCUGGGCCGACACUGACGCUGAGGCGCGAAAGCCAGGGGAGCGAACGGGAUUAGAUACCCCGGUAGUCCUGGC
rnacentral:rRNA from 1 species